UACGGAGGGUGCGAGCGUUGUCCGGAAUCACUGGGCGUAAAGGGCGCGUAGGCGGCUUGGGAAGUCCGUGGUGAAAGCCCGAGGCUCAACUUCGGGUCGGCCAUGGAUACUCCUAAGCUCGAGUCGACUAGAGGCUAAUGGAAUUCCGGGUGUAGCGGUGGAAUGCGUAGAGAUCCGGAAGAACACCAAUAGCGAAGGCAGCUCGCUGGGACGUUACUGACACUGAGGCGCGAAAGCGUGGGGAGCGAACAGG
rnacentral:rRNA from 1 species